rnacentral:rRNA from 1 species
CCUACGGGAGGCAGCAGUGAGGAAUAUUGGUCAAUGGACGCAAGUCUGAACCAGCCAUGCCGCGUGCAGGAAGACGGCUCUAUGAGUUGUAAACUGCUUUUGUACGAGGGUAAACGCAGAUACGCGUAUCUGUCUGAAAGUAUCGUACGAAUAAGGAUCGGCUAACUCCGUGCCAGCAGCCGCGGUAAUACGGAGGAUUCAAGCGUUAUCCGGAUUUAUUGGGUUUAAAGGGUGCGUAGGCGGUCGGAUAAGUUAGAGGUGAAAUCCCGAGGCUCAACUUCGGAAUUGCCUCUGAUACUGGUCGGCUAGAGAGUAGUGGCGGUAGGCGGAAUGUAUGGUGUAGCGGUGAAAUGCUUAGAGAUCAUACAGAACACCGAUUGCGAAGGCAGCUUACCAAGCUACUUCUGACGUUGAGGCACGAAAGCGUGGGGAGCGAACAGGAUUAGAUACCCCAGUAGUC